rnacentral:lncRNA from 1 species
CUGUUUUUUGUUUUGGAAUUUUUAGAUAUUUUGCCAAAUGAAAAAAUGCAUAAUCACCCGAGGAAAACCAGAAGUGCCAUGCACGGUUGCUGUGGAUGGCGAGAUCUGGUGAAAAACCUUGACGAUUAUGAGUCUGGAUACCGAAAACCGCAGGGAGGACCCCGCCCUCUUACACAGCCUAAUUAACUAUAAUAUUUAUAUACCAUACCUACCCAUACCUACCAAAAUCCAAAAAGGUAAAAAUCUUGCAAAAAAAAACAAACUAAAAAUCUCACGAGAUGUUCAAUAAAACAUUGUAGACCACCCAAAAAUUCAGUUCUACAGAUUGCGCAAGAUAAAUAUCCCUUUUUAUGAACAAAUUGUUCCACAUAAGGUAUAUUUAUCUUAACCUUGAAACUUGAAAAUAUUUCAAAUAUGUUAAGGACAAGGUGCGUGGCAAAUGAAUCCAACAGCCCAACAGAUUUUACGAUAGUUUGUAGAAGGUGUUAGGACAAUUGGAUGCAUUUUGAAGAUGUGAUGUGUGCAUUUCUAUAUUUGGAUUUUUGGCGCAUUUUGCUAUCGCGCGCAAGAAAAUUGCACCGCGCGCACUCAAUUUAAAUAUAGCCGGCAUGCACUGAUUUUCAUGCCCUUAAUAUUACCUAGCAUGCAAGUUAGCGCGUUUGAUUUUAAUAAGCAUGAAACGCGCACACUCAAUUUAAAUACAGCAUGCACUGAUUUUCAUGCCCUUAAUUUUACCUAGCAUGCAAGUUAGCGCGUUUAAUUUUAAUAAGCAGGAAACUUUGCGCAUGAAACUUUG